UACAGAGGGUGCAAGCGUUGUUCGGAAUUAUUGGGCGUAAAGGGAGUGUAGGCGGCUUGUUAAGUCUUCUGUGAAAUCUACGGGCUCAGCCUGUAACGUGCAGAGGAAACUGGCGAGCUUGAGUGUCGGAGAGGAUAGGGGAAUACCCGGUGUAGAGGUGAAAUUCGUAGAGAUCGGGUGGAACACCAGUGGCGAAGGCGCCUAUCUGGCUGACAACUGACGCUGAGACUCGAAAGCAUGGGGAGCAAACAGG
rnacentral:rRNA from 1 species